UGCAUCUGAGGCCAGUGAGGAUGAGAACCUCCGGGGGCAGGAGGUUCGACUCGAGCGAAGCGAGAGAACGUUGCGUCAGCAACGGCCCGCAGGGCGAGCCACGAAGUGGU
rnacentral:sRNA from 1 species